GUUGAGUUUUGAUCAGUUGCAGCAAAAAGUUUUUAGACAAAAGUACUGCUUCAUUGAAUUUGGAAGGGGAAGACAAUUACGGUUUGAAUUCCUUGAAUGUGCUGAGCAUAAUACACGUUAAACUUAGUCAAAUUUGAAAGGUGGGACUGAGACAGGGACUCAGAGGUUUUUCGUUUUUAUGCUGAAAAUUGACAUGCAUGAAUAAUAACUCCUGAGUGACAUACGAGUGCUAGAAGAGAGUAAGGUGGAAAGGACAUCUCUUUCCCCGGGCAGGCUGUGACUAGUCGGUCCUGUGCGGUGCCAACUGCAGACUUCAGACGGAGCGAAGAAACCAGAGGAACCAUCCAAGAGCUCCUGGCUUCCUCGGAGGCUGUGGGAGAAACUACCUUCCUCCCCCACCAGUGGGAAGGUCCCUCCUCUUGAGGAAAUGGAUGGAGGCCUUUGGGUCUGAGGUCUCACCUGUUCUGUUGCAGUGCUGACCGUGCCCCACCUCUACGCUGCCUUGGACACACGUGCAUCUUAUCUAUGAGGAGGGAAAGACCCAAGGAGAACUUGCCCAAGAAUGACACCUUUUGGAAGACUUGUCUGUAAGGGUUUUACGGGUAGGCUAUGUGACACGUAAACCCACAAAGGAUCCUACAUUUAGACUUCAACUGUAUCUCCGAGUGAGCUUAUUCAUACAGCUGCCAAGAUCAUAGCAGAACUGGAGAAAAAACAAGGUUCAUCACAGGACCAGAAACUUGUGCUCAAUUUUGGAAAAAUAGUCUCCAUAUCCCCCAUUUUAUUAAUUUGGUGAUUAUCCUAGACAUAGCACAUUGUUUUUUAAGUAGGCUCCAUGCCCAUCAUGGUCAAGGCUCGAACUCAUGACCCUGAGAUCAUGACCUGAGCUGAGAUGAAGAGUCAGAUGCUUAACCAACUGAGCCCCCUUCGCACCCAGCACAAUAUAUAUAUUUUUUAACUUAAAGAGUUAACUUGUUUAGCAUAACCAUUGGAACAUAUACUAUGAUUUUCAUAACUCUGUGUCAGUGUUUCUUCUUAUUUUUUUCUUAUACCAGGAGCUUAAAGGAAACAGAGAAGCCCGGGCCUCCCAGUCUCUCUGAGGCUUUACUCGUUCAUCCUGAGUAUCCUUCAUUUUCAUCUCCACCAUGCCAGAGUCCCACUCCGCAAGAAGACAACGCCAUGUAGUAAAAGGAAAAUAACAUAUGGGAGAGGCACAUUACAAGUACCAAAUGAACGACCUAAGCCCUAUAACAGUCUUGGUGCAUUGCCAAAAGACACCUCCAAUUAUAUUACUAAAGAGAAGAAAAAAUCCCUCACCUCUAGAUGAUAUUCUACUCCUGCUAUUUUGUUAUAAUGCACUUGUAAUGCAGAACUAUCCCAAGCCCUUUCUGGAAUAUGCCAUGCUUUCAAACUCCUGGGCUAGCACCGUGAGGAUGGAAAGGAAUUGCAUUUGCAAAUGUCAGCCCACCUCAUCCAUCUCCCCUCAUUCAAACAAUACGCAUUCGAGGUUCAGCAAUCGGAGUUAUAUAUUUUUCCUUAAUGUUGUUGUAAGGUAAUGGUUCUCUUAUCUGAAAUUCAUCAGCCUGCUAUAAAUUUAAACUCCAUUACUGCCAAUAGAGAAAAGCUAAGCACCAAACCACUUUCAAUAAAUUUGCACUUAUGCAAUUGAACUGAUACGGCCUCAGAGGAAAAGGUGAAACUCGUCUUGAGAUAUUUAAGUUAGUCUGAGUCACUGCUUCGUCUGGUGUUAAAUUGGAUCCAUCGAGAAAUGUAGGGCAGCACUCAUCAGCCCUGAGUUAUAAGAAGAGAUUUCAGGGUAAAAAAAAAAAAAAAAAAAAAAAAAAUUCUGUCUCCAGCAUUCGUUAUUAGAUGGUGUAAUUCUAAGAAAC